AAUUUGCGAAGUUUUUUCGGUUUCGGCGCCAUUUUCGAGUGGACUCGGUGGAGUUCAGGUUCCAGAUCCUUACCUUAUUAUUUAAAAGGUGAAAUGAUGGUGAGAUGAUGGUGAAAAAAUGGAACCAAGAAGCACUGUACUGUUCUUCAGUUCUGCAGUUUUGAGGAAAAACUGGAUCCUGGAAAUUUUACUUACGUUCUGAAGUACAUUCAUAUUGAAAAAGAAGUUAAAUUGUGUCCAAAGAGAAUCAUAUUUGCAGAACUGAUGCAUCAUUGCGUUCAGUCAAGCCCUAAGAAGAUGAGUUGGAGGAACAUAUACCUGUUAGUACUGCUCCUAACUGAUUUAUCACAUACCUGUGAAAACGUCAAAAAGAAAUGCAGAUAUGUCAAGCCAUCUGUACUGGUGCUUAGGCUAACUUGUAAUUACAUCUUAAGGUUGUACGCUGUGAAGUCAGGGACCCCACAAAAAAACCUACUUCACACUCCUUCUCUUCUCCCCCCCUUGCCUCUUCCAAGUUUGCUGUUCCCUAUCUGCCUAGGCAGGGAAUGUUCUGAAAAAUUUCAAGACAGCUGUGCUGACUUCAUUCAAAUUUGAAAGUUGCAGACUUUCUGGUAGAACAGGAUUGAAGAACAUUUAACCUUUUGUAAUAAGUGAAUGUUAAAAAUGUCUUCAUUGGAUUGUAUUGUGCUCUUCAAUACCUUAUAUCAUGUUAAAAAAUAGUCAAAAUACCAUUUGGAAUUUCAACAUUGUUGGGCUUUGAGGAGAUG